rnacentral:rRNA from 1 species
CCUACGGGAGGCAGCAGUGGGGAAUUUUGGACAAUGGGCGCAAGCCUGAUCCAGCAAUGCCGCGUGCAGGAUGAAGGCCUUCGGGUUGUAAACUGCUUUUGUACGGAACGAAACGGCCCUUUCUAAUACAAGGGGCUAAUGACGGUACCGUAAGAAUAAGCACCGGCUAACUACGUGCCAGCAGCCGCGGUAAUACGUAGGGUGCGAGCGUUAAUCGGAAUUACUGGGCGUAAAGCGUGCGCAGGCGGUUAUAUAAGACAGAUGUGAAAUCCCCGGGCUCAACCUGGGACCUGCAUUUGUGACUGUAUAGCUAGAGUACGGUAGAGGGGGAUGGAAUUCCGCGUGUAGCAGUGAAAUGCGUAGAUAUGCGGAGGAACACCGAUGGCGAAGGCAAUCCCCUGGACCUGUACUGACGCUCAUGCACGAAAGCGUGGGGAGCAAACAGGAUUAGAUACCCUGGUAGUCCACGCCCUAAACGAUGUCAACUGGUUGUUGGGUCUUCACUGACUCAGUAACGAAGCUAACGCGUGAAGUUGACCGCCUGGGGAGUCGGCCGCAAGGUUGAAACUCAAAGGAAUUGACGG